ACCUGCAGCCAGACCAUUUUAUACUGUGAUCCCAUCAGAUCUCACCGGCUAAACAUGGUUGAUCUGAAUCGAUACUUGGUUGGGAGAUGUUGAUUGAAUAUUUGGGUGCUGCAGGAA
rnacentral:rRNA from 1 species